rnacentral:rRNA from 1 species
AUUGAACGCUGGCGGCAUGCUUUACACAUGCAAGUCGAACGGUAACAGGGUGCUUGCACCGCUGACGAGUGGCGAACGGGUGAGUAAUGCGUCGGAACGUGCCGAGUAGUGGGGGAUAACGCAGCGAAAGUUGUGCUAAUACCGCAUACGUACUGAGGUAGAAAGUGGGGGACCUUCGGGCCUCACGCUAUUCGAGCGGCCGACGUCUGAUUAGCUAGUAGGUGGGGUAAAGGCUCACCUAGGCGACGAUCAGUAGCGGGUCUGAGAGGAUGAUCCGCCACACUGGGACUGAGACACGGCCCAGACGCCUACGGGAGGCAGCAGUGGGGAAUUUUGGACAAUGGGCGAAAGCCUGAUCCAGCCAUGCCGCGUGUCUGAAGAAGGCCUUCGGGUUGUAAAGGACUUUUGUCGGGGAGGAAAUCCCCAGCGCUAAUACCGCUGGGGGAUGACAGUACCUGAAGAAUAAGCACCGGCUAACUACGUGCCAGCAGCCGCGGUAAGAC